GCGAAAGUGGUGUUUGCGGCCGACAAUGUAUAAAAAACAAUUUCGACCCUUAUAAUUUGUUGUUGUUUUGUGGUCCAGUGGUAGUACUUGAUAUGAGAAACUUGUUUCUAAGUUUACCAUCGGGUUCGAAAUUCACCACCAAUCUCCUAAUUUAGGUGUUUUAGAUACUCUGAGGAUCGAUAGUGUGUCAUCAUCUGAUUGGCUGGAAGACAAAAAACACAAACAAAUUCUUUUAUUUCGGUUCCCGUUACGCUAUCUCUCUCUUUUUUCUCUUUCUCUCUCUCAACCGUGACAAACGAACGGCGAAAGGCCGGAGACCGUCGAAUUUAGAGGAGAAACGGUGGGAAACUCGUCUAUCACCGUCUCUAUCAUGAUCUCCACCGACGGUGGCACUACGGCGAAUUCGGUUCAUCAAUUCAGAAGCAUAUAGGCCACAUCUCCGAUUGUUUGGUUCAAGAAUCUCUCUGUUUCUCUUGAUGGGAAGCUUCUAUUAAGGUGAAUCGGAGGAGCGAAUUGAGAGAUGGAUGGUAGAGAAGGCUCGUUCGUAGCUGUCAGGAGGAUUUCUCAGGGUCUCGAACGAGGAACUGUUUACAAUCCAUCAUCUCUAACUGAGGCUGUGCCAUCAACAGCUUGGUUAGGCAGGGGGUCUAUCCUGUGUCUGUGCUCAGAGAAGAGAUAGUGACGCAAAUUCCACGUUUGAUCUCUAACACCUGCUCAGGAGGAAUGCUUGCAAAGUUUGCAGAGCCGCAUUGACGUAGGCUAAUGAUAGUAC